UACGUAGGGUGCAAGCGUUGUCCGGAAUUAUUGGGCGUAAAGAGCUCGUAGGCGGCUUGUUGCGUCGGCUGUGAAAUCCCGUGGCUUAACUGCGGGCUUGCAGCUGAUACGGGCGGGCUGGAGUUCGGUAGGGGAGACUGGAAUUCCUGGUGUAGCGGUGAAAUGCGCAGAUAUCAGGAGGAACACCGGUGGCGAAGGCGGGUCUCUGGGCCGAUACUGACGCUGAGGAGCGAAAGCGUGGGGAGCGAACAGG
rnacentral:rRNA from 1 species